rnacentral:rRNA from 1 species
GACGAACGCUGGCGGCGUGCUUAACACAUGCAAGUCGAACGAUGAAGCCCAGCUUGCUGGGUGGAAGAGUGGCGAACGGGUGAGUAACACGUGAGUAACCUGCCCUGAACUCUGGGAUAAGCACUGGAAACGGUGUCUAAUCCUGGAUACGACCUAUCACCGCAUGGUGUGUGGGUGGAAAGAUUUAUCGGUUCUGGAUGGACUCGCGGCCUAUCAGCUAGAUGGUGAGGUAAUGGCUCACCAUGGCGACGACGGGUAGCCGGCCUGAGAGGGUGACCGGCCACACUGGGACUGAGACACGGCCCAGACUCCUACGGGAGGCAGCAGUGGGGAAUAUUGCACAAUGGGCGCAAGCCUGAUGCAGCAACGCCGCGUGAGGGAUGACGGCCUUCGGGUUGUAAACCUCUUUUAGUAGGGAAGAAGCGAAAGUGACGGUACCUGCAGAAAAAGCACCGGCUAACUACGUG